AUACGUAGGUGACAAGCGUUAUCCGGAUUUACUGGGUGUAAAGGGCGUGUAGGCGGUUUAGCAAGUCAGAAGUGAAAUUCCCGGGCUUAACUUGGGCGCUGCUUCUGAAACUGCUUUACUUGAGUGCUGGAGAGGAUAGUGGAAUUCCUAGUGUAGCGGUAAAAUGCGCAGAUAUUAGGAGAAACACCGGUGGCGAAGGCGGCUAUCUGGACAGUAACUGACGCUGAGGCGCGAAAGCACGGGGAGCAAACAGGAUUAGAUUCCCUGGUAGUCCACGCCGUAAACGAUGAAUACUAGGUGUCGGGUUUCUAUAGAGAUUCGGUGCCGCAGCAAACGCAAUAAGUAUUCCACCUGGGGAGUACGUUCGCAAGAAUGAAACUCAAAGGAAUUGACGGGG
rnacentral:rRNA from 1 species